rnacentral:rRNA from 1 species
UACGGAGGGGGCAAGCGUUGUUCGGAAUUACUGGGCGUAAAGGGCGCGUAGGCGGAUUAGUCAGUUAGAGGUGAAAUCCCGGGGCUCAACCCCGGAACUGCCUCCAAAACUAUCAGUCUAGAGUUCGAGAGAGGUGAGUGGAAUUCCAAGUGUAGAGGUGAAAUGCGUAGAGAUCGGAAGGAACACCAGUGGCGAAGGCGGCUCACUGGCUCGAUACUGACGCUGAGGUGCGAAAGUGUGGGGAGCAAACAGG